UGGGGAAUAUUGCACAAUGGGCGCAAGCCUGAUGCAGCCAUGCCGCGUGUAUGAAGAAGGCCUUCGGGUUGUAAAGUACUUUCAGCGGGGAGGAAGGCGAUAAGGUUAAUAACCUUGUCGAUUGGCGUUACCCGCAGAAGAAGCACCGGCUAACUCCGUGCCAGCAGCCGCGGUAAUACGGAGGGCGCAAGCGUUAAUCGGAAUUACUGGGCGUAAAGCGCACGCAGGCGGUCUGUCAAGUCGGAUGUGAAAUCCCCGGGCUCAACCUGGGAACUGCAUUCGAAACUGGCAGGCUAGAGUCUUGUAGAGGGGGGUAGAAUUCCAGGUGUAGCGGUGAAAUGCGUAGAGAUCUGGAGGAAUACCGGUGGCGAAGGCGGCCCCCUGGACAAAGACUGACGCUCAGGUGCGAAAGCGUGGGGAGCAAACA
rnacentral:rRNA from 1 species